UACGUAGGCAGCAAGCGUUGUUCGGAGUUACUGGGCGUAAAGGGUGCGUAGGCGGUCCUAUAAGUAUGGUGUGAAAUCUCCCGGCUUAACUGGGAGGGUGCGCUAUAGACUGUGGGACUAGAGUGUGGGAGAGGAAAGUGGAAUUCCUGGUGUAGCGGUGAAAUGCGUAGAUAUCAAGAGGAACACCAGUGGCGAAGGCGAGUCCCUGGACGAUACCUGACACUGAGGCACGAAAGCCAAGGGAGCAAACAGG
rnacentral:rRNA from 1 species